rnacentral:rRNA from 1 species
GACGUAGGGCGCGAGCGUUGUCCGGAUUUAUUGGGCGUAAAGAGCUCGUAGGCGGCUUGUCGCGUCGGCUGUGAAAUCCCGUGGCUCAACUGCGGGUCUGCAGCCGAUACGGGCAGGCUAGAGUUCGGUAGGGGAGACUGGAAUUCCUGGUGUAGCGGUGGAAAUGCGCAGAUAUCAGGGAGGAACACCGGUGGGCGAAAGGCGGGGUCUCUGGG